rnacentral:rRNA from 1 species
CCUACGGGAGGCAGCAGUAAGGAAUAUUGGACAAUGCUCGCAAGAGUGAUCCAGCCAUGCCGCGUGCAGGAAGAAUGCCCUAUGGGUAGUAAACUGCUUUUGAACUAGAGAAAACCCCAGUACGUGUACUGGGCUGAUAGUAUAGUUAGAAUAAGCAUCGGCUAACUUCGUGCCAGCAGCCGCGGUAAGACGAAGGAUGCAAGCGUUAUCCGGAUUCAUUGGGUUUAAAGGGAGCGUAGGUGGACUUAUAAGUCAGUGGUGAAAUCUCCGAGCUUAACUCGGAAAUUGCCAUUGAUACUGUAGGUCUUGAGUACAGUUGCUGUGGGCGGAAUAUGACAUGUAGUGGUGAAAUACAUAGAGAUGUCAUAGAACACCGAUUGCGAAGGCAGCUCACAAAGCUGUAACUGACACUGAGGCUCGAAAGUGCGGGGAUCAAACAGGAUUAGAUACCCUGGUAGUCCGCACCGUAAACGAUGAUUACUCGCUGCUAGGGGGCAACCUUUAGUGGCUUAGCGAAAGCGAUAAGUAAUCCACCUGGGGAGUACGCCGGCAACGGUGAAACGUCAAAUGAAUUGACGG